AGUCACACCACAUCACUCUCAUCUUCUUCGUGUCUUUUAUUGAAUUAGCCACGAAAGAUUUCAAGUUCAAUCUGUUUCAAAGUCUUCAACUUUUAAUUGGAGAUGAGUAAUUUUCCUGAAGGAGGAAAAAGGAUUCAUUCAAACAAGUUGUUUAGGGGUAAAUCCCAAAACUUCCUUUCUCUCUCACGAAUUGCUUAACUGAUUUAUUGGUUUUGAGUUGAACUCGGUCCGGUGACCGUCUUGUGGUCUUCCGUCGGCGAGCUACUGUGGUGCGUUUGCACCGUCGCUAUUGGUGGCUCGAAUCACCACCUUUGUGCAGCAUUUUCUCUCUUAUCUGCUUUUCCGGUGCUGUUGUCGUGGUUUGUUGUUCUGCUGUUGGUGCUCCGACACUGCCACUGUUGCUGUAUGUUGUUAUUGUUGUUGAGUUCUGCCAAUUCCGAUCUCUUAGCAAGUUAUUGUUUUGAGGUCGUUGGUGGAAUAUGGCUAUAGAGAUAAUUUGCGGAGUUGAGCUAUAGUUGGUGAUGAAAUGUCGAAAUAUUGGAGGUUUGUUAAUAGAGAAUUGGGUUGCAGAUGAGGUAACAUUUAUGUUCAGCAAAAAUGUAUUUAUAUACCGUAUGUGUUAUAUUAUAUUUUUGAUAUUAUAUAUCGUUUAUAGUCAUGGCCAUGGUUAUAGAUGCAUCUCUAUGAGUUAGUUGUGAAUUGCUAUUGGAUUGUUAUAAAAGUAUCCCUUUGUUCAGCUCUUGGAAUUGUUCGGAAAUAACUAUGUUCUUAUAGUAUGAUUUGGGUCGAUAAUUAGGAAAUGAUUUUGAAAUUGUUUUAGCUGGCUUAGUUUAUGAACCGAGAUGAAUAGUGAGGAAGGUACAAGUGGAGGGGAAAUUAUUCAUAUAUGAGUGAAGACUAGAAAAGGUCGAAUAUUAUGUUAUGUUAUGUUAGAAGCUUGUACUUGCCAACGAUUUCUGUUACGUGAUUAAGCUAUGCUAGCGAUAUAUUUAAAAGAUGAAUUAUUUUCUGAACAAUAACCAAGUUUGUUUCUUAUAUGAAAAAUGUUUGCGAACCAAAAUCGUUUUGACGGGCUGAAGUAAACUUAUUGAGCUUUUCGCUCAUUUUCGUUUUGUUUGUUUUGUAUUUCUCUUCUAUAAUUGCAGGUUCUUGAAUCGGAAGCUCAGAGUGGAUCAAAGCGAGAAUUUUGAUCGUUGAGUAGUAAAUAGAUUAAUGAUUCGGAAUUUUUAAUUAGAAGUAUUGAAGUUCUUUAUUAAUAAAAUAUUAUAUUAUUUUAGGAAUCGAGUAAGAUAUUAAUAAUAUGUUAUUGAUU